rnacentral:rRNA from 1 species
CAAUAGCGUAUAUUAAAGUUGUUGCAGUUAAAAAGCUCGUAGUUGAAUUUCUAUAUGCAUAUUGAUCGGAGCAAUUCAUUAAUAUGUAUAUAUCCGACAUUGAACUAUAAUGGUUAUUUAGUUAAUCUUAUAGCGAACUGUCAUUUUACUUUGAAAAAUUAGAGUGUUUCAGGCAGGCAUUUGCCCGAAUAUCUUAGCAUGGAAUAAUGGAAUAGGACCCUGGUUCUAUUUUGUUGGUUUUGAGAACCAGAGUAAUGAUUAAUAGGGAUAGUUGGGGGCAUUCAUAUUUCAUUGUCAGAGGUGAAAUUCUUGGAUUUAUGAAAGAUGAACUUCUGCGAAAGCAUUUGCCAAGGAUGUUUUCAUUAAUCAAGAACGAAAGUUAGGGGAUCGAAGACGAUCAGAU